GACGAACCGUGCGAACGUUGUUCGGAAUCACUGGGCUUAAAGGGCGCGUAGGCGGGCCUCCCAGUCCGGGGUGAAAGCUUUCGGCUUAACCGGAAAAGUGCCUUGGAUACUGGAGGCCUGGAGGGGGGUAGGGGCAGCCGGAACUUCCGGUGGAGCGGUGAAAUGCGUAGAUAUCUGGAGGAACACCGGUGGCGAAGGCGGCAUCCUGGACCGGCAUUGACGCUGAACAGCGAAAGCCAGGGGAGCAAACGGG
rnacentral:rRNA from 1 species